GGCGGUCAGCUGCGCCCAGCCUGAAGCUGUCCCAACCGCGGCCGCCUCGGUCGCCCUUUUGACUUGCAGCAGGGCGGGCAGAGCGACUUAGAGGAAAAGUGACUUUUUGUACCCUCCUGCAGGGAGCAGGUUCUCUGUCCUUGUUUAAUUAGACAUUUCUCAGGAAUCCCGCCUCUGCUGUGAAGCCUUUCUGUUCGCUCCAGUGAAAAUUAGUCAUCCACCGGGCGCGGUGGCUCACGCCUGCA
rnacentral:lncRNA from 1 species